UCGAGAAUCUUCGGCAAUGAGCGCAAGCUUGACCGAGCGACGCCGCGUGCGGGAUGAAGGCCUUCGGGUUGUAAACCGCUUUCAGUGGGGAGGAAAUCGCUAGGGGUUCUCCCCUAGUGUUGACCUAUCUUCAGAAGAAGGACGGGCUAAGUUCGUGCCAGCAGCCGCGGUAAUACGAACCGUCCAAACGUUAUUCGGAUUCAUUGGGCUUAAAGGGUACGUAGGCGGCGCUAUCAGUCGGGUGUGAAAGCCCUCGGCUCAACCGAGGAACUGCGCCCGAUACUGUAGUGCUUGAGGGAGACAGAGGUAAGCGGAACUGAUGGUGGAGCGGUGAAAUGCGUUGAUAUCAUCAGGAACACCGGUGGCGAAAGCGGCUUACUGGGUCUCUUCUGACGCUGAGGUACGAAAGCUAGGGGAGCGAACGGGAUUAGAUACCCCCGUAGUCC
rnacentral:rRNA from 1 species